rnacentral:rRNA from 1 species
CGGACGGGUGAGUAAUGUCUGGGAAACUGCCUGAUGGAGGGGGAUAACUACUGGAAACGGUAGCUAAUACCGCAUAACGUCGCAAGACCAAAGAGGGGGACCUUCGGGCCUCUUGCCAUCAGAUGUGCCCAGAUGGUAUUAGCUAGUAGGUGGGGUAACGGCUCACCUAGGCGACGAUCCCUAGCUGGUCUGAGAGGAUGACCAGCCACACUGGAACUGAGACACGGUCCAG